rnacentral:rRNA from 1 species
GAUGAACGCUGGCGGCGUGCCUAAUACAUGCAAGUCGAGCGAACAGAUAAGGAGCUUGCUCCUUUGAAGUUAGCGGCGGACGGGUGAGUAACACGUGGGUAACCUACCUAUAAGACUGGGAUAACUUCGGGAAACCGGAGCUAAUACCGGAUAACAUUUAGAACCGCAUGGUUCUAAAGUGAAAGAUGGUUUUGCUAUCACUUAUAGAUGGACCCGCGCCGUAUUAGCUAGUUGGUAAGGUAACGGCUUACCGAGGCGACGAUACGUAGCCGACCUGAGAGGGUGAUCGGCCACACUGGAACUGAGACACGGUCCAGACUCCUACGGGAGGCAGCAGUAGGGAAUCUUCCGCAAUGGGCGAAAGCCUGACGGAGCAACGCCGCGUGAGUGAUGAAGGGUUUCGGCUCGUAAAACUCUGUUAUUAGGGAAGAACAAAUGUGUAAGUAACUGUGCACAUCUUGACGGUACCUAAUCAGAAAGCCACGGCUAACUACGUG